GAAAGCCGAAUACAUGGAGACAUGUACGUUCGGUUUGGAGGCAGGUAUGGGGAAACCUAUCGCCGAAAGACGACAAGGCGUCCCAUACCGAGCCUAC
rnacentral:ncRNA from 1 species